rnacentral:rRNA from 1 species
UACGUAGGGUGCGAGCGUUGUCCGGAAUUAUUGGGCGUAAAGGGCUCGUAGGCGGUUUGUCGCGUCGGGAGUGAAAACCUUGGGCUUAACUCAGGGCUUGCUUUCGAUACGGGCAGACUAGAGGUAUGCAGGGGAGAACGGAAUUCCUGGUGUAGCGGUGAAAUGCGCAGAUAUCAGGAGGAACACCGGUGGCGAAGGCGGUUCUCUGGGCAUGAUCUGACGCUGAGGAGCAAAAGUGUGGGGAGCGAACAGG